CUUAUAUUCAUUCAGCUAAGGCCAGAAUCAUGCAGCCUGGAUGUACAGCUCUGCAAUGAAUUGAAUAUGUGAGUGCCUAUGCUGUGAAGAUGUAGGGAUGCUCCCUGUCCUCAAGAUGCUCACAUCCAGAAGAAUGCAUUUUAAAAGAUAUGGUGCUAGAAAUAAAGCUACAAAAAUAACACAGAUCAAGACCCAAGCUCUCUUUACAAGAAACUUACACCAAAGUAGGGGAGACAGAUACGUAAAUAACCAUCUUGAUGCAGUGUAAGAGGGGCAAUGACAGCAGUAACCCCAGAAUGUUAAGGGAAACAUGCAAGGGUGACUACCUGGCCUGGAAAGGUGAGAAAACAAAGGUUUGGCAAGGAUGAGUACUUGCUGCAGGUCCAACAGUUAUGACUGGAUUGGAACUUCAUCCCAGCUUGGCCUAACUUCAGAGGAGUUUCAUUCAACUUAUAUAGAUUCGAUAUGAAAUGGGAAUGCAAGAAGGCAUAGAUAUUUCUGGUUGAUUCAAUUUCCUGAUAAUUCCCAAUUACAAUAAAAGAAAUGGUUUCAUAAGGACU
rnacentral:lncRNA from 10 species